UGGUGGUGGUGGUGUCAGAGGAGCUGCUCCCGUCCGAACCCUUACACCUCCCUCUCCUGUGACCCCCGCGAACCUGUGGCUUCACAGAAAGAAGAACAACACCGUUGGGUACUUGGUUGAAGGAGAGCUGGUGUUCGUACAGGGCCAGGAGGAGCAGGCAGCCCCAGCCCAACAGGAGUCCUGCGUUCUGCAUGAGGAACUGGAGCCCUGGUCGCUCGCUCCGUGCCCGGUUCAUCUCAGGAAGCUGGGGAGGAGAUCCAAAAUGGCGGCUGCUGCUCACCAUCUCCACCAGCGAGAGGUAGAGGAAGAUGCCGGCGGUGACGCUGAAGAUCCAAUGCUGCACCGUGGUCUCCGUGGAGACGAACAGGCCGAUGUAGAGGCCCAGGAAGGCAGUGAGGGCGCUCAGGAAGUUCAUCAGCACCGCCGUCUUCACCGACAGCCCGGCGUUCAGCAGCACCGCAAAGUCUCCUGGGAAAUAUAAUGACACCAUAGUGGACCACUCAGAGUGACCACACAAUGUCUCAUUCAUUACAUCCCCUAUAAUCUCAUGCCUCAUUCUGACCACUAGUGUAUUGCUCAUUCGAAACGAGCCGAUUGCUUGGCCUUCGGUGUGGCUGCUUGCGGCUUUCUCGAGAACCGAUCAUCCAAACACGCACAAACACACGCACACGCACACACACACACACACACACACACACACACACACACACACACACACACACACACACACACACAACCACAUAGAUAUACAUAAUCUCCUCUCAUUAUAGUUAUAUGUCUCAUUCGUAUCAUCAAUUUUAAUAACUUGUGCUAGGCUAACAAGCACGAACCUCUCAUACAUCUCGACAGGGGAUGCCAACAGUAGCUAUGCUAGUCCCCCUCACCACUCUCAUGGGGAUUCUAAUAGAAGCUAUGCUAGACCUCUCACCCUUCUCGUGGGGGACUCUUAAUGGUAGCUAUGCUAGUCCUCAACACCCAUCUUGUGGGGUACGAUAAAAGUAGCUACGCUAACCCCCUCAGAAGUAGAGCUUGAUGCUAGCAGUGGCUAUAUCAUUCCUCUCACCAAUCUCAGUAGCUGUGCUAACCCUCUCACCCAUCUUGUGGGGAUGUGAGCAGUAGCUGUGCUAACCCUCUCACCCAUCUGGUGGGGAUGUGAGCAGUAGCAGUGACGGUGCUAACCCUCUCACCCAUCUGGUGGGGAUGUGAGCAGUAGCUGUUCUAACCCUCUCACCCAGCUGGUGGGGAUGUGAGCAGUAGCUGUGCUAACCCUCUCACCCAGCUGGUGGGGAUGUGAGCAGUAGCUGUUCUAACCCUCUCACCCAGCUGGUGGGGAUGUGAGCAGUAGCUGUUCUAACCCUCUCACCCAGCUGGUGGGGAUGUGAGCAGUAGCUGUGCUAACCCUCUCACCCAUCUCGAGGGGAUGUGAGCAGUAGCUGUGCUAACCCUCUCACCCAGCUGGUGGGGAUGUGAGCAGUAGCUGUGCUAACCCUCUCACCCAGCUGGUGGGGAUGUGAGCAGUAGCUGUGCUAACCCUCUCACCCAUCUCGUGGGGGAUUUCAUGGCAGAGGAUGGCCACAGUGGUUGCCAUGCCGCUCUCGGCGGAGGAGGAGAAGGCGGCGCCGACGACCAGACCAUCGGCAAAGUUAUGAAGGCUGUCGCCCACGACGACCAUGACGGCAAGCAGCGGCAC